GUCGAGAAUCUUUCACAAUGGGGGCAACCCUGAUGGAGCGACGCCGCGUGGAGGAUAAGGUCUUCGGAUUGUAAACUCCUGUCAUGCGUGAACAAGGUUGCUCGGUUAAUACCUGGGCAAAUUGAUGGUAACGCAAGAGGAAGAGACGGCUAACUCUGUGCCAGCAGCCGCGGUAAUACAGAGGUCUCAAGCGUUGUUCGGAAUCACUGGGCGUAAAGGGUGCGUAGGUGGCGUGGUAAGUCAGAUGUGAAAGCCCGGGGCUCAACCUCGGAACUGCAUCCGAUACUGCCAUGCUAGAGUACUGGAGAGGUGACUAGAAUUCUCGGUGUAGCAGUGAAAUGCGUAGAUAUCGAGAGGAAUACCAAAGGCGUAGGCAGGUCACUGGACAGUUACUGACACUGAGGCACGAAGGCCAGGGGAGCGAACGGGAUUAGAAACCCGUGUAGUCC
rnacentral:rRNA from 1 species